rnacentral:rRNA from 1 species
AUUGAACGCUGGCGGGAGGCCUAACACAUGCAAGUCGAACGAGUGGCGGACGGGUGAGUAAUGUCUGGGAAACUGCCUGCUGGAGGGGGUUAACUCCUGGAAACGGUAGCUAAUCCCGCAUACCAUCAGAUGUGCCCCGAUGGGAUUAGCUUGUUGGUGGGGUAACGGCUACCCAAGGCGACGAUCCCUCGCUGGUCUGAGAGGAUGACCAGCCACGCUGGAACGUGUAAAGGGGCCAGACUCCUACGGGAGGAAGCGGUGGGGAAUAUUGGACAAUGGGCGCAAUCCUGAGGCAGCCAUGCCGCGUGUAUGAAGAAGGCCUUCGGGUUGUAAAGUACAUUCGGCGGGGAGACGUUACCCGCAGAAGAAGCACCGGCUAACUCCGUGCCAGCAGCCGCGGUAAUAC